GAUUUCUGGCUCGGAGCAUCUGGCCCGCCUCGAAAGAGUGUGUGUUGUCGGUGUGCUCCGGUCAUCCUUCUGGAGAACAUCUCUGCCCUUCAUUGGGUCGGGGGUGGGAUCCAGAUCGUUUACUUUGAAAAAAUUAGAGUGUUCAAAGCAGGCUUAACGCUGUGAAUACAUUAGCAUGGAAUAAUAAGAUAUGGCUUUGGUACUAUUUUGUUGGUUUCUAGGACCAAAGUAAUGAUUGAUAGGGACAGUUGGGGGUGCUAGUAUUCAAUGGCCAGAGGUGAAAUUCUUGGAUUCAUUGAAGACUAACUUAUGCGAAAGCAUU
rnacentral:rRNA from 1 species